AAGUSAACAUCACUAUUUUCCGAAACUCCACGUUACCUMAAACAAAUUCACGCGACAGAUUCAAUAUUUCGUCGAGAGRGUGCGAUAAUAACASUGAUCUUUGUACAACGUUUGGCGGCACUAAAUUACAAGACAACUGUCAAUGUACCUGCGGUGAAGAUAAAAGUACUUUUGGAUUUUAUGAUGGAAAGUGGAAAUGUACAAAGAACUCGGUUGUGCGACAACAUUCAGGCUGCUCGUACUACUUACAUAGUUUCUAUAGCGGGGAUUUACAGGACGCUCCAUUGUAUACCUUACCAGUUCUUGGUCYUGSUAACGAUAAUAACUUUGUCAGAGGUAUUCCACAAGGUAAAAGUUGCAAUUUCGUUAAGAACAAUGCCACGUUCUUGAAGUGCGAUGGARCCUGGGGCCAACUGAACGAGCAGAAUUUUAAAGAAGUUUUAGUAUUGGCGUUAUCAGGGCAAUUUCUUUACGUUGGUCCGUUCAUCGACCCACCGCAACGAAAAAAUGUUUUAACUGGUAAAGUUAUCAGAAUUCCUAUCAAAUGCAGUGGUAUUACCUGGUUUCCUUCCCAGUGUGUGGCUAUGAAACUGAAAGGGAAAGU